AUGAUUGGGGGUACUUUGGAAGCUCAAUAUCCUGGUCUGUUUGACAUUUGUCAACGGAGGAUUUUUACUGUGGCUGAUGCUUUAAACUCUGGGCUGGCUUUAUCCUUUAGAAGAAGGCUUUAUGAUGGAAGUCUCUCACAUUGGGAGGGGAGGAGAUUAAAAAAUGCCGAGUCUAUGGUGUUGAAUGAUAUUCCUGAUAAGGUGAGUUGGGCUCAUGCUAAGAACAAGCUGUUUUUAACCAAAUCUGUUUAUAAGUGGUUGGAGAAUGGGCUUGCUGGGGCUAAUAAUCAAUGGAUUGGGAGAGCGCACAUCCCAGUAAUGAUUAAGGUCUUUGUGUGUCAGUUAUUUCAGAACUCUAUUCUGACACGUGAUAAUUUGCGCAAGAGAAACUGCCUGGAAAUCCUUUGUUCUUUUUGUGGUGAUGUUACAACGGCCAAGCACUUGUUUUUCUCAUGUAGUGUGUGGCUAAGUCGGCCUGGGGAACUAUUCGCAGGAUUCCGGGCACCUCUUAUUGUCCUAGGAAUUUGUGGCAAAGUUUGA
rnacentral:rRNA from 1 species